AAAACAUGCUAAAAAUAACGUAAGAUGACCUGUCAUCAUUUGGUUCAAGGAAAGAGUACCAUGAGAAGGUUGUUUAUAUCAAUGAUAAACCGUACUACACAGUGAAUCUACUAAUAUUCUCCCUAAUUGAUUUUCCAUGUUCUCCAUAUAACCUUGCAAAAUUAAGAAUCUUAUAAUCUCUAGACAGAGGCACCAACAUUUCAACCCAUUGAGCAUAUGAUUUAGUAGCUGACAAUUAUAUAGAAUUGAGUGAACCUGUUGAGGCCCGACUGAUGGAACAAUCAAAUGGAUUUGUGGAGCAACGCCUUCCUAAGAUUGUCUCCCUUGCAUACCUUGCUCGUACAACCUCCAAACCCAUGUCUCGUUGAAACUCAUUUUGAACCAUGGGUUUCACAUUUUCAGCAAGUUGUUUGAAGACUUAAAACAUGAUGUCAUGUGUCCACAUGUCAAUAUGUUGUCUAACUAAAGACAUGGACGUUACUAUUAGAGUAUCAAGUGUUUCAACUAAUUGUAUCUCAUAGACGCUAGAAGAAACCAUGGAAGUUGGCGUUCUUGACAUUUGAGAAGGUUUGUUUGGUUGAGAAUGUCCUGACUUUCUAGUUGUUGAUGGUGAUGGUUUUCCAUACUAUUGAGAUUCUUUCUAGACCCCAAGUUGAUACAACUGGCGUAAAUUUGACCUAGGGAAUUUUAUUUUGAGUGUUAUAAGGUUGUAUUGUCCCACUCGGAGUGCCAAAUUUAAUGAUGGAA
rnacentral:lncRNA from 1 species